rnacentral:rRNA from 1 species
UCAACGCUGGCGGCGUGCCUAACACAUGCAAGUCGAACGCGAAAGUCCCGCAAGGGAUUAGUAGAGUGGCAAACGGGUGAGUAACGCGUGGGUGACCUGCCUUUGAGUGGGGGAUAACGUUUCGAAAGGAACGCUAAUACCGCAUAAUAUGCCGUCUUUUAAGAGAUGGACAUCAAAGCCUGGGACCGCAAGGCCAGGCGCUUAAAGAGGGGCCCGCGUCCGAUUAGCUAGUUGGUGGGGUAAUGGCUCACCAAGGCAACGAUCGGUAGCCGGCCUGAGAGGGCGGACGGCCACACUGGGACUGAGACACGGCCCAGACUCCUACGGGGAGGCAGCAGUGGGGAAUAUUGCGCAAUGGACGAAAGUCUGACGCAGCGACGCCGCGUGUGGGAUGAAGGCCUUUCGGGGCGUAAACCACUGUUGCCCGGGACGAACCUCCCCAUUCGUGGGGACUGACGGUACCGGGUGAGGAAGCACCGGCUAACUCUGCGCCAGCAG